CCUGGUCGGAAACUGACGGGGAUUUUAUGAGAACUGAGUUACAUCGGUUUUGGUCAGGUUUUUUUGUUCGGUUGGAAGCUCGGUCGGAGCGAAGAUUGGUCUGCCGUGUGCGACGUCCACAUUCACAGACGGGAUUCAAGAUGGCGAGCCAGACCUAGACCUUCAAUUCAUCUUCUCCAUCAUAUCAGGGAGGGACUCUCCUGCGUAUGAUAAUUCGCUGCCGGAGCGGUAGGAACUUCAGGAACUAGUUCAAACCGAACUGAACAGGAUUAAGAACUGAUUUAAGAACUGGUGAAAUUAUUAUUAUUUUUCUGGACUGAAUCAAAACUGAAGCUUUUCAUUGAACUGAGAACCUGAACUCACAUUGGACUUGAACUUGAGCUUAAAGUGUCAUGCUUAGAUUUUCAUAUGUUAUGUCUCUGAAUGUGAAUUGAAUAAUUGUGGUCCACUUUGAUUUGUUUGAGGGUAUUUCCUUACCUGUGGAAAAAAAACGAGUUAACUCAGAAAAAAAAAUAGGAAUCCUAAAAUAGGUGCAACCUAAGAAAAGGAGACUGGUCUAACUAACUUAAAUUAGUUUGACUAAAAUAACCUAGGAAAAAGAGACUGGUCUAACUAAAUUAGAUUAGUUUUACUGAAAUAAGCUAGG